GUCUAGUUUGUGGCAAUGGUAAAUACCUUUUCAUGGUAACAUAUUUGCACAAAUGAGGAAAUUGUGCAAUUAUGAUUAAAAGAUUAUAAAAUUGAUUCCUGUGAGUUAUGUGCAAGCUCACUUCUAAGGAGCUUCACUUCUCUUUGCACCUUUCAUCUAUGAGCUUGACAGACCUGAUUAAAAUACUGUUUCAGCUUGAGUUUCUGCAUCUCCUGAACAACAAAGAUGACCAGAGCUCUGAUUAUCCUUCUGAUUGGGUGUCUGCUGCAAGGUGCCCUGUGUCAGAGAUUUCAGGCCAUUGUUCCAGAGUCAAUAGAUGUCCUGAGUGGAUCCUGUGUGACUAUUCCCUGCUCCUUUGAUAUAGACACCACAUUUAAAGACAAUUUAGAUAGCAGUUGUAAAGCAAUAUGGAGAGAUCAAAACGAUCAAGAUGUGUUUGAUAGUAGUAAACUAACAAGUGAUGGAGAAUUGCAUGGAAGACUGACAGAAAAAAACUGCACCACAACCCUGAAUAACAUUGGUCCUCACAAAGGCAAAAGUUAUUACUUCAGACUGGGAUGUAGUGGAGGGUUAAAA